GUGACUGCGUACCUUUUGUAUAAUGGGUCAGCGACUUAUAUUCUGUAGCAAGGUUAACCGAAUAGGGGAGCCGGAGGGAAACCGAGUCUUAAUUGGGCGUUAAGUUGCAGGGUAUAGACCCGAAACCCGGUGAUCUAGCCAUGGGCAGGUUGAAGGUUGGGUAACACUAACUGGAGGACCGAACCGACUAAUGUUGAAAAAUUAGCGGAUGACCUGUGGCUGGGGGUGAAAGGCCAAUCAAACCGGGAGAUAGCUGGUUCUCCCCGAAAGCUAUUUAGGUAGCGCCUCGUGAAUUCAUCUCCGGGGGUAGAGCACUGUUUCGGCUAGGGGGCCAUCCCGGCUUACCAACCCGAUGCAAACUGCGAAUACCGGAGAAUGUUAUCACGGGAGACACACGGCGGGUGCUAACGUCCGUCGUGAAGAGGGAAACAACCCAGACCGCCAGCUAAGGUCCCAAAGUCAUGGUUAAGUGGGAAACGAUGUGGGAAGGCCCAGACAGCCAGGAUGUUGGCUUAGAAGCAGCCAUCAUUUAAAGAAAGCGUAAUAGCUCACUGGUCGAGUCGGCCUGCGCGGAAGAUGUAACGGGGCUAAACCAUGCACCGAAGCUGCGGCAGCGACACUCAGGUGUUGUUGGGUAGGGGAGCGUUCUGUAAGCCUGCGAAGGUGGCCUGUGAGGGUUGCUGGAGGUAUCAGAAGUGCGAAUGCUGACAUAAGUAACGAUAAAGCGGGUGAAAAGCCCGCUCGCCGGAAGACCAAGGGUUCCUGUCCAACGUUAAUCGGGGCAGG
rnacentral:rRNA from 1 species